GAACAAUAAGAUCUAUUGAAAGGCGAUGGCACAAAGCGGGUGGGAGCCGGGGCUGCUCCCAGCGCCGCAUUGUUGUCCCCGCUGGCUCCGCGGGUGCGGAGCAGCACCGGGGUUACUCCUCAGCGCUGGAAGAGGCUGUUGUGGAGGAUGGCGAGACCUGCCCGUUCCUUCUCUGCACCGCCCGGCUUGGGGAUGAGCACACCACGGGAGGAAAAGAGCCCGGAACGGUAACGAUGUGCCCGUGUUCCCCCUCGUCCUAGGGACGGGAGUGGAAAACCCGGGUUAAUGGUAAACUGCAGUGGGCAGUUCCACCCGCUUCAGCGCUGGAAGCUGCUCCUGGAGCCGGGAAAGGUGCAGGAAAUACCAGUUAUCAUUUCACACAGGAGCGCUUCUGUUCCUCUAUGGAAUCUAUAGCAGCUGCUGCGCAUCAGGAGCAGCGUGGUGCUUCGGGGUGAUUUGGGGUUAAACGCUGUUAAAUCUGUGUUUCUGUAGCAUCCACAUGAUGAAAGCACCGACCUGAACCCGGGUGCUCGCAGAGAGGCGGCUGCAUCUCAUCCCCGCUUGUUGUUGUUCCUGUUCCAGUCUUUUCUUGGCUGCACGGGAGUUUUAUGCCGUUCUCUUCCGAGAUCCUCGUCUCCUGCUGCAGAGGGGCUGUUGCAGGGCAGGGACAGGAUAAAACCACCCUGGGGGCAGCGUGCUCGGGGCUUGGCUCUUUGGAAAACACCAGACUUCAUCCCAGUAUUGGGGAGAGGUGGUGUGUUCUAGAAACGCUCACUCUGAGCUACAAGAAGUGCCUUGAACCCUCCUGUUUCGUGGAUGUGUUUUGGAACACCCCUGCAGCCCUUCCCCAACAAUACACUCAAACCAGUGCCAGAUGUGACAUUUACAGGAAGGCUUCGUCCCUCCCUCUGCCAGCCUGGAGCCUGAUCGGAGCCGGGGCCCAGAGCGGCUCAUGUGGAGCUUUUCCAGCUCUCUGUAAGCUGGGAAAGACAACUCUGUGUGUGGAGGCUUCCUGUGGGAUGUGGGCACGAGGAGGGUGACGGUUCUGGAAGCAAAGGUUUGAAUUUUGCAGGAACUGUUGAAUAAAU